rnacentral:rRNA from 1 species
CAACGGCAUCACGAGGGUCAUACUGUCUCCUUUUUCUAAUCAGUGAAACUAAUCUCCCCGUGAAGAAGCGGGGAUAUUUUUAUAAGACGAGAAGACCCCAUGGAGCUUCAAACCCAACUACACCUUUGAUUAUUAUAGCCUUCUAAACCUCAGAGCCCUGCACAGUUGGUUUUAGGUUGGGGCGACCACGGAGUACAACAAAACCUCCACAAUGAAAGGGAAAUUCCCUCAUCUAAGAACCACAAUUCUAAGAACUAGUAUACUAACAUGAAAUGAUCCAUUAACAUGAUCAAUGAACCAAGUUACCCUGGGGAUAACAG